AGCGAACGCUGGCGGCAGGCUUAACACAUGCAAGUCGAGCGGGCCCUUUCGGGGGUCAGCGGCGGACGGGUGAGUAACGCGUGGGAACGUGCCUUCUGGUUCGGAAUAACUCAGGGAAACUUGAGCUAAUACCGGAUACGCCCUUUUUGGGGAAAGGUUUACUGCCGGAAGAUCGGCCCGCGUCUGAUUAGCUAGUUGGUGGGGUAACGGCCUACCAAGGCGACGAUCAGUAGCUGGUCUGAGAGGAUGAUCAGCCACACUGGGACUGAGACACGGCCCAGACUCCUACGGGAGGCAGCAGUGGGGAAUAUUGGACAAUGGGCGCAAGCCUGAUCCAGCCAUGCCGCGUGAGUGAUGAAGGCCUUAGGGUUGUAAAGCUCUUUUAUCCGGGACGAUAAUGACGGUACCGGAGGAAUAAGCCCCGGCUAACUUCGUGCCAGCAGCCGCCGUAACAC
rnacentral:rRNA from 1 species